AACAUAGUUUUAUGCAUUUAUAUAAAAUAUUUUCUGCCCAAUGUUUUUAAAAAAUCAAUGGCCGCAGUACCUUGACUGUGCUAAGGUAGCAUAAUCAAUUGGCUUUUAAUUAAGGUCUAGAAUGAAUGGGAUAAUGAAGUURAUCUGUCUUAGUUGCUUUUAUUAAAAUUUAUUUAAAAGGUGAAAAUACCUUUUUUAAAAAUAAAGACGAGAAGACCCUUAGAAUUUUUAUUAUUUUUUUUUGUUGGGGCGACAGUUUAAAAUAUAAUCUUAAAUUUAUGUAUAUAUAUAACGAUUUUUUUAAUAGAAAUUAAAUUACCUUAGGGAUAACAGCAUAAUUAAUUAUUUAGUUUGUGACCUCGAUGUUGGACUAGGAACUAUAUGGCUAACCGUCUAAUUAGAUUUGUUCUGUUCG
rnacentral:rRNA from 1 species